rnacentral:lncRNA from 1 species
AUUUGAUUUACCAUUUUUAUGGCAAUUAAAUCAAUAAAAUAACUAUUUACAUGUAGGACCAUAUAAUUAUCUUAAAUUAGUUGCACUACAUGAGAUGUCAUAUUAUUGUAAAGAUGAUUUCAAAUGCAACUUUGUGCUCCAUGACAGAUUAUUAUAACUAAAGAUGAUUAAAGUACGAGUACAACAAUAUAUUAAAAUCCUCAAACGAGGCCUCAAAUAUAUGAUUUUCAAGUAAUCAUUUCUCAGUUAUCAACAUUUCAUUCAACAGAAGUAAACAUUGCGCCUUGCACAUGCAUCCAAAUUAACAUCUUGACAUGUAAAAACUUUAUCAAAAUAAAUAUAUAUAAACAAUAAUAGUGCAUGCACAUUGGUAUUUCAGCAAAUUUCUGAUGAAUCUUCUUUUAUCACACAAACAAGGAUGUACAUGUACAAGCUUCAUGAUCCACUAACAAAAACAUCUGGAGUAGAGAACUACCUUUCCCUUGCAUGUGUGAACAUAAAUAAGAAUAAGAUUACUGCAUAAAUUAAGUAAGAACAACCAUGAAUGAAACUUAGUUGCCCACGUCAAUUGCACAUCCGGGGAGUCAAAUGCAUAAUAACAGCCAUGAAGACCAGUCCUAAUCUUUUCUCAAGAAAAUAUCACAUAUAUAUUGGAGGUUGUACAGAUGGAGACCAAACUUUUUAAAUUAAAUCAAAUGUUAAGUAUUAUGAUUAACAACUGCAAUGACUCAAAUUACAUAACAAUGUCUGGAAACUGAAGACAUUUCAAAUUUUGUAUAUCCAACCUCAAGCGAGAAUAACAGAUUCUGCCUUUCGACAUAACUUACGUUGCUUAAUUGUUUAGCAGCCCAUAAAUAACCAUUUGCACUCCAAUUAGAAAGUUUUCAACAUAGCUAUAGUAAAAUCAAACAAUUCUUGUAAGGAUGCUGUUACAAAUAACCAUUACUUUUCUAGCCCAUUUCCACUUGGGUCAAUUAGGGUUUAUCAAACCUUUUAGUGUCAAAUUAUGGUUCAAACAUGUUCACC